rnacentral:rRNA from 1 species
UACAGAGGUCCCAAGCGUUGUUCGGAUUUACUGGGCGUAAAGGGUGCGUAGGUGGCGGGGUAAGUCUGGUGUGAAAGCUCCGAGCUCAACUCGGAAAAGCAUUGGAAACUAUCCCGCUUGAGGGUCGGAGGGGAGACUGGAAUUCUCGGUGUAGCAGUGAAAUGCGUAGAUAUCGAGAGGAACACCAGUGGCGAAGGCGAGUCUCUGGACGACUCCUGACACUGAGGCACGAAAGCUAGGGGAGCAAACAGG